rnacentral:rRNA from 1 species
UACGAAGGGGGCUAGCGUUGCUCGGAAUCACUGGGCGUAAAGCGCACGUAGGCGGAUUGCUAAGUCGGGGGUGAAAUCCUGGAGCUCAACUCCAGAACUGCCUUUGAUACUGGCAAUCUCGAGUCCGGGAGAGGUGAGUGGAACUGCGAGUGUAGAGGUGAAAUUCGUAGAUAUUCGCAAGAACACCAGUGGCGAAGGCGGCUCACUGGCCCGGUACUGACGCUGAGGUGCGAGAGCGUGGGGAGCGAACCGG